AAAGAUGGGGCGGCGCGGCCGGGGCUCGCCAGCACCAGCCCUGGAACCCCAUGGGGGACCUCGACAACAGCGCCUUUGCGGCGUGGGCCCCUUUCUGCAGCUCCUCCACCCGCGCGCUGUCGGCUCCGGGACACUGGGGCUUUGAAGGGCGCCAGUUCCCAGCCGCACCUGCACGCCUAGGAGGGCGCAGGCCGCGUGUCCCUGUGGGAGGAAGGCCCCGGCAACCUGCAAAGACCUCACGUCACAGAAACUUGCGGCGUUUGCCCCCGAUGCGCGCGUCAGGUGCUCCGUCCCUUCCAGGUGGCAGAGGAGAGGGAAGGGUCGCGCCUGGUGGGGGCCUGAGAGCCACCGGGCUGCGGUGCGCGAGUGUGGACACCGCCCCGCCUUCUGCGUCUACAGCCCUGGGUUCUGGGACCUUUGGAAACCGCUUUGGACGAAGCUGAGCAUCUCUUUCCCCACGCUGACCUCCCCCAUAGACUCCGGAUGGGAGUAAAUGAGGCUCCUGGGAAAUCCAGAAACUCUAGAGAAGCUUGUUUGCCAAACCUUGCUUUGGGCGGUGGAGACAGAAUAUCAUGUCCCAGAUCAGCGUGUGGUGACUGUGGAGGCAUUUACACACAGCACACUCCAGCUCUGCCACUGGGCCGGCUGAGGUGGCUGCGGUACACGGCGCCCAUCCUGAGCCCCAGGUUCCUCACAUGUCAACAGCAUGAAAAGUGCCUCUAAGACAUCCACAGGUGUGCAGUGUUAAAGCAGGAUUCUGCCAUGAUUGCCACCUCUGGAGACGUCACAGCCAGCACAGCCAUGACCAGGGAUGAACUUGGCCAUUGUCCAGCAGCACCAUGGGAGGACCAGCUGCUGUAAGUGAAGGUCAUCAUCCAUCUGAUUUGCUGGCUUUUUGCAACUACUGCGGUGGAAGUCUUAGAGUAGCCACCUUCUCUGUACUCAGACCUUCACUUCGCCAGAUGUCAGCACAGCAGUGUCAGCAGCUUCGUCAAACACAAACACCACCACCUCUCUGGAUCAGAAGCACAUGGAAAGCCCACCUUGCAAGAAGACCCAGCUAUUCCAAAAGUACCCAUAUCCCUGUAGCAUCCUCUUAGCUGAAUGUCUCUACUCCUUAAACUUGUACCACUUUGAAGAGUAAAAAUUUAAAUUCAUUCAUAUUAUCAUUUUUUAGUUUUUAGUAUAAGUGGAGCUGUUUAUCGGCCAUUUGUAUGUCCUUUUCUUUUUUUUGCAAAUUACUCCUUUGCCAAAUUUUCUCUCAAAUGACUCAUCUUUUUCUUAUUGAUUUGCAGAAGCUAUUUACAUAUUAUGGAUGUGGGGUGUCUAACAUACACAGCAAAUACUUUGUCCCAGUGUGUCACUUUUUAAAAAAAUUCUUAUAAUGUCUUUCAUCUUUAAAAAAUUAUUAAGCUAUUGUGAGCUUUUAUGCCUUUUCAGUUUAUUUUCUUACAUAGAUAAUUAUAUGAAGUGCAAAUAGGGGCAGUGUUAGUCUCAUCUUCCCAAGGCUGCACCUCAGAUGUGGAAUGUUGACAGCAACAUCUGUUACCUUGUUUCUGUUUUUAGGAUUUUAGCGUUAAGGCCAGGCAUAAUGGUUCAUGCCUGUAAUUCCAGCACUUUGGGAGGCCGAGGUGGGCAGAUCACUUGAAGCCAGGAGUUCAAGACCAGCCUGGCCAACAUGGAGAAACCCUCUCUAUUUUUAAAUACAUUUAAAAUGUUAACAAUUAAAACAAAAUAUUUUACCGUUAGUAUGAUGCUUGAUACAGGAUUUCUGGUACAUACGCCUUAUCAAAUUAAAUAAGUUUCCUUUUACUCUUGUUUAUUGUUAUUUUUUAAAAUAAGGAAUGAAUCUUGGAUUUUAGUGUAUCAAUAAUUAUAUUUUAUUCUUUAACUUCAUAAUAUUCCUUAUAAUUCCUUAUGUCAUAUUAAAGAUGUAAAUUCAUAUAUAUUUUAUCAUACAAAUGAUUAAUAA
rnacentral:lncRNA from 1 species